GACGAACGCUGGCGGCGUGCCUAAUACAUGCAAGUAGAACGCAGGUGCGAACGGGUGAGUAACGCGUAGGUAACUGCCUCAUAGCGGGGGAUAACUAUUGGAAACGAUAGCUAAUACCGCAUACUGUGAGAUGGACCUGCGUUGUAUUAGCUAGUUGGUGAGGUAAAGGCUCACCAAGGCGACGAUACAUAGCCGACCUGAGAGGGUGAUCGGACACAAUGGAACUGAUACACGGCUCAGACUCCGACGGGAGGCAGCAGUAGGGAAUCUUCGGCAAUGGACGGAAGUCUGACCGAGCAACGCCGCGUGAGUGAUUAAAGGUUUCGGCUCGUAACGCUCUGUUGUCAGAGAAGCGGUAUCUGAUCAGAACGGUAUGGCUAACUACGUGCCAGCCGCCGCGGUAAUAC
rnacentral:rRNA from 1 species